CAUCGCCUACGGGGGGCAGCAGUGGGGAAUAUUGCACAAUGGGGGGAACCCUGAUGCAGCAAUGCCGCGUGGGUGAAGGAGCACUCCGGUGCGUAAAGCCCUGUCAGCAGGGAAGAAAAUGACGGUACCUGACUAAGAAGCCCCGGCUAACUACGUGCCAGCAGCCGCGGUAAUACGUAGGGGGCAAGCGUUAUCCGGAUUUACUGGGUGUAAAGGGAGCGUAGACGGCAGCGCAAGUCCGAAGUGAAAGCCCGGGGCCCAACCCCGGGACUGCUUUGGAAACUGUGAAGCUGGAGUGCGGGAGG
rnacentral:rRNA from 1 species